rnacentral:rRNA from 1 species
AGGGUUUGAUUAUGGCUCAGAUUGAACGCUGGCGGCAGGCCUAACACAUGCAAGUCGAGCGGUAGAGAGGUGCUUGCACCUCUUGAGAGCGGCGGACGGGUGAGUAAUGCCUAGGAAUCUGCCUGGUAGUGGGGGAUAACGCUCGGAAACGGACGCUAAUACCGCAUACGUCCUACGGGAGAAAGCAGGGGACCUUCGGGCCUUGCGCUAUCAGAUGAGCCUAGGUCGGAUUAGCUAGUUGGUGGGGUAAUGGCUCACCAAGGCGACGAUCCGUAACUGGUCUGAGAGGAUGAUCAGUCACACUGGAACUGAGACACGGUCCAGACUCCUACGGGAGGCAGCAGUGGGGAAUAUUGGACAAUGGGCGAAAGCCUGAUCCAGCCAUGCCGCGUGUGUGAAGAAGGUCUUCGGAUUGUAAAGCACUUUAAGUUGGGAGGAAGGGCAUUAACCUAAUACGUUAGUGUUUUGACGUUACCGACAGAAUAAGCACCGGCUAACUCUGUGCCAGCAGCCGCGGUAAUACAGAGGGUGCAAGCGUUAAUCGGAAUUACUGGGCGUAAAGCGCGCGUAGGUGGUUCGUUAAGUUGGAUGUGAAAUCCCCGGGCUCAACCUGGGAACUGCAUUCAAAACUGUCGAGCUAGAGUAUGGUAGAGGGUGGUGGAAUUUCCUGUGUAGCGGUGAAAUGCGUAGAUAUAGGAAGGAACACCAGUGGCGAAGGCGACCACCUGGACUGAUACUGACACUGAGGUGCGAAAGCGUGGGGAGCAAACAGGAUUAGAUACCCUGGUAGUCCACGCCGUAAACGAUGUCAACUAGCCGUUGGGAGCCUUGAGCUCUUAGUGGCGCAGCUAACGCAUUAAGUUGACCGCCCGGGGAGUACGGCCGCAAGGUUAAAACUCAAAUGAAUUGACGGGGGCCCGCACAAGCGGUGGAGCAUGUGGUUUAAUUC